rnacentral:rRNA from 1 species
AUCUCUGGCCAAACCACCUUCAGUGCACCUGACCACAUCUGAGCUUGAAAGACAGGCAGGACAAGACUUGGUUAGUACUUCGAUGGGAGAUCGUCCGGGAAUGCCAGAUGCUGAGAGCUU